UGUCAUAGUUUAGGCAGAACUCGGCAGGAUGGAGUUAGUUUCUCAGUUGGAUAAAGUAUUUUUUUUUAAAAGACAUACUUUGUGCGUUAGGACGUCAGAACAAACAAGAAGAUGAAAGUAAGAACAUUUGAAGUAGAUUACAGACAUAAAAGGUGCUAAAGCUAGCAAUAAACCAAGCAGCGUACACUUCAUACCAGGGGGCGCUGCUGCAGGUGGUGGUGCUGCUGCUGCAGGGAGUGGUGGUGCAGGUGUGUGGUGAGGAGACGCGAGGAGGAGGACCGGGGUGUGAAGUGGAGUGUUGUCGGUAGUGGACACCAUCUGAGGCGCCACAUCCCCUGUAGAAGAAGACAUCCGAGGUCUUCCUCCCCUGCAUUCCGAUCCUCUUCUGGGCCUCCACGCACACAAACUUUGCUAACUUUUGCUCCGGGCAGUCCUCAUCGGCAGAGCUUCCUUUUCCUUCCCCGCCCGUCGUGCCUGUGCACCGAUGACGUCAGAGGCUCCUCCCCCCCUGAUGACAUCAUCGCUAAUGUGCCAAAAAAAUGGCCCCCAGGCCGCACUUCCCCCUGGAUGCACACAUGGCACGUACCUGCGCGAUGACACGGCAUCAGCCACGAUGUGGACCUCCAUUCCCUUUUCCAGCAGGUCGAAGGUCGUGCACUGACAUCAGAGGGCAAAGGUCAGCCAGGAGGUCAAAGUUACUCAUUAAAUGAUUCCUCGGGGUGUUACCGCGAUG